CUUUAUCAAUUUUCUAUGAAUGAAGUUGUACAUACAUCUUUUGUAGUAGGAAGUAAUGUAGAAGAGAUAGUGAUUAAUAAUACACGUUUCCUAAUAUGGGAUAUUGGUGGCCAAGAAUCUCUUCGUUCUUCCUGGAACACUUAUAUAUUAACACAGAGUUUGUAAUAGUUGUGGACACUACCGAGAGAGGAUUUCUGUAACUAGAGAAGAACGCUAUAAAAUGUUACCACAUGAGGACCUAAGAAAAGGUGCAUUGCUGAUUUUUGCUAAUAAACAAGAUGUUAAAGACUGCAUGACUGUAGCAGAAAUCUCCCAGUUUUUGAAGCUAACUUCUAUUAAAGAUCACCAGUGGCAUACCCAGGCAUGCUGUGCUCUAACUGGCGAGGGAUUGUGCCAAGGACUUGAAUGGAUGAUGUCACGACUUCAAAUUAGAUGA
rnacentral:lncRNA from 1 species